GACUGUUAGAGGCUGCCAGAGGAAGUCAUGGGAGCCACUCUAUUACACAGCAGUCUCUAUAUGGUUCUGAUCCUCCCCCUAUUACCUCCUCGUUCCUUCCAAAUCCUUGAGCAUUGUCUGGGCUUCCUCACUGCGCACUUACUACUGCAACUAACGACCAAAAACUGACAUGAAGAUUUUAUGAAAGAAUGUUUGCAGAUUGGAUUCAGCAGUGUAAACAAAAAAUGUUUUAAGUGGAAACAAGUAACACGUUGACAGUAUUGUGCGUCAAAUCUGCAGCAGGAGCACGUCGGACUGUUGGCAAGGUACAACGUCUGAGCUGUUGGGCGAAAGCAGUCAAAGCAGCAAUUCGAUGGUUAAUGUAGUCUAAAAUAAUUGACGCGCUGGCCUCAGCUCCUUGGAGAGGAAUGAGCAAAAGUUUGGAGUGGUGUAUGACCUCAUGUGCAACAGCCGAGGGGAAUACUACAUCGGUAGAAGGCCUCUUGACAAAAGACUGCAAGAAAAUGGCAAACAGAGGACAUGAGCCGUCGAACAGAACCAACUGGGAUGAAAGCCAUCGACCAAGAGUCAGUUGACAGUACCAAGGACCACGAUGAUCCAACCUUUACGGGAUUAUGUUUAAAAGCAUGGCUCUCUGUUGAAUCGUGUAUUUCUAAUCUGCUGGGAACAGAUGUGAGACAGUUGGUCCUCAGAUGACAGCUCUGAUUGCAUCGACUAGUUUGAUGGGGAGAUUGAUAACACCAACAUGCUUCAAUUCACCCCUGCCAUCACACGUUGUAAUAAGCAGAUAGCAGGAAGAUCAACUCAAUAAAAAGUCACAAUUCCCACAAGAAUAGUCAAAACUGCUCCACCAUUUCAUCCUGAAUUCCCCGUAAGGUAAUUUCACACAUGUUCUUCGUAAAUGUGGAAAAGCGCUUACGCAGGCCGACGCUGACCACACUGCCUGGCCAGCAGUCCACAGCAGCCUUUGUUUGCAGAGACCUGGUUCAUCAUAAAACCACAUCCAUGCUUUUUUUUCGCUGAUUUAGUCGAUCACAAAAUCCACCUCACUGCCUUUAUGUGGAAAACUGAACUAGCAACUGCUGGCUGUCCAAACAACAGGCGAAGUGCUGAAGCAGGGGUCAUUCAUCAUGAGGUAAGCACUAUAGCAACCACACUGCUCAGGUGACUGGGCCCGUGGGAUAAAGCCCCCAUCAUGACACAACACUUUUCUCUCUGCAGCUUUACAGCUCCAAAACAUUCACAGACGAGCUCAAACAGGCCAUAAAAGUAGCUAAAAACACCUAAAUCUAGAGAAAGAGGGAUUCUGGGCCAAGGACCAUGCAGGUGUUCUUCCUGUUGAGUUUGAUUCUUUUUUUUUUAAACCAGGAAGUUCUUUAAAAAUAGCCACGAUAACUGCUGCUUUGUUCCCAUCUCACGUCCUGAACUGAGGUCACAUCCAACUGUUAACUGUGCAUUGUUUGCAUAUUUGGUAUAAGUACUUUGAAAAAUAAUUCUCAGUCAAUCAACUGUACCAAAUGAUGUUGUGGAACCUGUUCGGUUAUCCGGUUCCCCUCCCAACCAUCAACAUGACCGGUAGAGCCUCAGCAGCUGCUACGCUUUGUUAAAAGUAUGUCACAGGUUACAGUGUCCAGAUUACUAUCUCAAGUCUUUGUCUCACGCUCUCUCCCAUGCAGGGCAAAUGGAGAUUGCGCUCAGGGACACGAGGAGUGAGUUCAUAAAAUUAACCCUCAAUACAUAUUUUGUCACCUGUGAUUGGUUCUUGAUGUGUAAUAAAGGCUGAGAGUGA